AAUACUUAGGAAUCUGCCCAUUAAUGGGGGACAACAGUUGGAAACGACUGCUAAUACCGCAUACGCCCUACGGGGGAAAGCAGGGGAUCUUCGGACCUUGCGUUAAUGGAUGAGCCUAAGUCGGAUUAGCUAGUUGGUGGGGUAAAGGCCUACCAAGGCGACGAUCUGUAGCGGGUCUGAGAGGAUGAUCCGCCACACUGGGACUGAGACACGGCCCAGACUCCUACGGGAGGCAGCAGUGGGGAAUAUUGGACAAUGGGGGGAACCCUGAUCCAGCCAUGCCGCGUGUGUGAAGAAGGCCUUUUGGUUGUAAAGCACUUUAAGCGAGGAGGAGGCUACUAGUAUUAAUACUACUGGAUAGUGGACGUUACUCGCAGAAUAAGCACCGGCUAACUCUGUGCCAGCAGCCGCGGUAAUACAGAGGGUGCGAGCGCUAAUCGGAUUUACUGGGCGUAAAGCGUGCGUAGGUGGCCAAUUAAGUCAAAUGUGAAAUCCCCGAGCUUAACUUGGGAAUUGCAUUCGAUACUGGUUGGCUAGAGUAUGGGAGAGGAUGGUAGAAUUCCAGGUGUAGCGGUGAAAUGCGUAGAGAUCUGGAGG
rnacentral:rRNA from 1 species